UACGUAGGGGCGAGCGUUGUCCGGAUUUACUGGGCGUAAAGGGUGAGUAGGCGGUUAUAUAUGUCAGGUGUAAAAAGCUAUGGCUUAACCAUAGUAAGCACUUGAAACUGUAUGACUUGAGUGCAGGAGAGGUAAGCGGAAUUCCUAGUGUAGCGGUGAAAUGCGUAGAUAUUAGGAGGAACACCGGUGGCGAAGGCGGCUUACUGGGCUGUAACUGACGCUGAGUCACGAAAGCGUGGGUAGCAAACAGGAUUAGAUACCCCUGUAGUCCCUGA
rnacentral:rRNA from 1 species